rnacentral:rRNA from 1 species
AUGGCGGUGCCGCUGGAGUUCCCAGCGGAAGCUCCGGCAUCAGCACCAACGCACCCUCAACCUCCUCGCCCUCGGAUUUGGGAUCUACGUGCUUGGAUUCCCAAGUGUAGCGAAAUGCAUCGAGAUGGAUCUUCCAGAGAUCAUACUGCUGGUGGCUCUUUCCCAGUUUUAAUUGCAAGGAUGGGAGGUGGAUGCCCACACGGAUCCGGCGUCUCCAACCUCGGCAUCCACAAGGAGGAGCGGCAACAACCCCGGACCCAUCCGCUGGUGCUGCUGAUCCUGCUUGGACAUACAUGCUUCCUCUUCCACGUCGGCUACAUGACAGCCAUGGUGAGCUCUAUGCUUCCUGCAUCUUACAGUAGUUGGCCUGAGAUUAUAGUUGGGCUGGAAAUGAACUUCUUCAAUUCGAUUUCUCACCAGAAGGCUCUGAAGAUCUUCCCCUGCCCUACCUCUGGACCUCUUCGCCCCAUCGUGCAAUGCCAGACCCACAAGUACAACAUU